GGAUCGGUAGCUGAGAUGGUAUAGCGGCGAUCUGAAGAAUCGCAGACGAGGAUUCGAGCACCUCCCGAUCCAC
rnacentral:tRNA from 3 species